rnacentral:rRNA from 1 species
UACAGAGGGGGCCAGCGUUAUUCGGAAUUACUGGGCGUAAAGGGCUCGUAGGUGGCCAACUAAGUCAGACGUGAAAUCCCUCAGCUUAACUGGGGAACUGCGUCUGAUACUGGAUGGCUUGAGUUUGGGAGAGGGAUGCGGAAUUCCAGGUGUAGCGGUGAAAUGCGUAGAUAUCUGGAGGAACACCGGUGGCGAAGGCGGCAUCCUGGACCAACACUGACACUGAGGAGCGAAAGCCAGGGGAGCAAACGGG